UCACAACCUGCAUGGUCCAAGUAAUUUGGUGUUAGCUUCAGCAAUUUGUUUUCAGAGAGGGAAUUGGAAUGUUAAGUUUUCAGCUUCUGACCGUCGAUGCUAAAAUCCUGGGCUGCUUUUCUUGAGAACCAAGGUAAGAUGGUGGCUUUUCGAAGUGUUUCACUUAUUACCUGGCCUUCACAAUAUUCCAGAUAAGAAAACUAGAAUCCAUGUAUUAGAGAACUCGAUGUGACCAUUUUACCUUGAUGGUAUAAGGCAUGUUGUUGACUUCGGACCAGUUUCAGGUUAUUGAGCUCAUCAUUACCCUGAGAUUUUGAAGAACAUCGGGGUUUUCUCCUAGAAAUUUGAUAAGCCAUGUGAGAGCUGCGGUCGUGGUGUCAUGCCCUGCAACAAGCAGAGUUAAGAUAUUGUCCUUGAGUUGUGCAUCCGUGAGUUUAUCUGAAUCAUCAUCUGUUUCUUCUUUGCUAUGCUUUCUUAGGAGUGUCUGCAGGAAAUCAUGGUGAACAUCCUUUCCAUCCCUUCUCUUGGAGAUUAUAGAGUCCAGCAUUGCAUACAUCCGGUUCCGAGCCUGUUCCAUUUGAGCACCAUUAGAAAGCAUUUUAUUUGUUCACUGAGGGAGCAUGUUGGGGACAUCACCUCGAGACCACGGUGGAAUGCGCACCCCGGGAUCUUGAAAGGCAAGGAUGCAAAGGAGGAUGAUAUAAGCUUGAAGUUGGCGCGAAACUUCUCUUGCUCUUCUCCAUAUGGUUCCAAGCUCAUUAUCAUAUGGGCUAUCACCUUGAGUGUGAACUGCAGAUCAUUUAAGCAGUAGAAGAUUAGCGAAAACUCAUAACAAGCCUCAACAAAAUUGCAUCAGCAGUAUCUUCACACACAAUAGAAGCCUCCUCUAGCACAAAGACUCUUCUCCCAGCCCAUCCAUCCAGUGUCUUGAUGGCCAGAUCAUCAAUGAAUUGAAGGUAUUUCUUGAGUGCAUCUAUCGAUAGGGGCUCGGCGAUCAGUCGUCGGAGCCGCUUGUGCUCUUCGCCACUGGUUGUAAGCAAGCUUGUGGGGCCUAGCACCUGCUGCCCUGUAUAGAACAGGUUCAAGCUCACCAUCCCAUCUUUUCCAGACAGCAAUAUCUUGCUAGCUUCUCUUCCUGUCAUGAAGACAGUAAGCCUCCCCAAGACUCUUGUUUUGAACACUUUUCCAUACCUGAAAGAAGGAAGCAGAAUUUAGUGAUGAAAAAAUCAUUUCAAAUUAAUGUAUAAAGAGUAUACUCAGUUCUGCAAGAUUUAGAGUUCGAUG